rnacentral:rRNA from 1 species
UACGUAGGGUGCGAGCGUUAAUCGGAAUUACUGGGCGUAAAGCGUGCGUAGGCGGUCCGCGAAGUCUGAUGUGAAAGCCCCGGGCUCAACCUGGGAACUGCAUUGGAAACUAACGGGCUCGAGUGUGGCAGAGGGGGGUGGAAUUCCACGUGUAGCAGUGAAAUGCGUAGAGGUGUGGAGGAACACCGAUGGCGAAGGCAGCCCCCUGGGCUAACACUGACGCUCAGGCACGAAAGCGUGGGGAGCAAACAGG